rnacentral:rRNA from 1 species
CCUACGGGAGGCAGCAGUAGGGAAUAUUGGUCAAUGGACGCAAGUCUGAACCAGCCAUGCCGCGUGCAGGAUGACGGCCCUAUGGGUUGUAAACUGCUUUUGUACGGGAAGAAUAAGCUCUACGUGUAGAGUGAUGACGGUACCGUAAGAAUAAGGAUCGGCUAACUCCGUGCCAGCAGCCGCGGUAAUACGGAGGAUCCAAGCGUUGUCCGGAUUUAUUGGGUUUAAAGGGUGCGUAGGCGGUUUGAUAAGUCAGUGGUGAAAGUUUGCGGCUUAACCGUAAAAUUGCCAUUGAAACUGUCAGACUUGAGUAUGGUUGAGGUAGCUGGAAUGUGUCAUGUAGCGGUGAAAUGCUUAGAUAUGAUACAGAACACCGAUUGCGAAGGCAAGUUACUAAACCAUAACUGACGCUGAGGCACGAAAGCAUGGGGAUCAAACAGGAUUAGAUACCCCGGUAGUC